rnacentral:rRNA from 1 species
UCCGUUAAGUGAUUAUGACUUACUUGUACUGAUUGAGAUUUUAACACGAAGUGAGUGGCGAACGGGUGAGUAACACGUGGGUGACCUGCCCAGAAGUAGGGGAUAACACCUGGAAACAGAUGCUAAUACCGUAUAACAGAGAAAACCGCAUGGUUUUCUUUUAAAACAUGGCUCUGCUAUCACUUCUGGAUGGACCCGCGGCGUAUUAGCUAGUUGGUGAGGUAAAGGCUCACCAAGGCAGUGAUACGUAGCCGACCUGAGAGGGCAUCGGCCACAUUGGGACUGAGACACGGCCCAGACUCCUACGGGAGGCAGCAGUAAGGAAUCUUCCACAAUGGACGCAAGUCUGAUGGAGCAACGCCGCGUGAGUGAAGAAGGGUUUCGGCUCGUAAAGCUCUGUUGUUAAAGAAGAACGUGGGUAAGAGUAACUGUUUACCCAGUGACGGUAUUUAACCAGAAAGCCACGGCUAACUACGUGCCAGCAGCCGCGGUAAUACGUAGGUGGCAAGCGUUAUCCGGAUUUAUUGGGCGUAAAGCGAGCGCAGGCGGUCUUUUAAGUCUAAUGUGAAAGCCUUCGGCUCAACCGAAGAAGUGCAUUGGAAACUGGGAGACUUGAGUGCAGAACAGGACAGUGGAACUCC